rnacentral:lncRNA from 1 species
UUAUGGAUAAUCUUAUUGAUAUUGUCCUCCAAUAUGAGUUAAUUGAAUCAUGUUUCAUGUAUACAUGUGACCGAUUCAAUUAAACACGUGAUUAGGUAGGAAUGUGGGGAAGUUAGUUGUCUGGAUGAAUGCGAUAAUACGCACACUGACUUUACACCUAAAUCACAUCUUUAACAACGACUUCAGGUCUAUCCAACCUGAUUAAGAGCACACUCCUCGUUGUAUGAAUGAUACUGGAUCACCAUUUAAAGGACCUUAAAUUCUCCCUGUCGUUGAGUUUUUAAGGAUAUUUGAGAGAACAAUGAUCAUCAAUGAAACCAUUGAAGAAAAUAUAAUGGAAUAUCUUUGCACCACCUCCAAAAAUGAGCCUGAAGCUUUUACUUGGGGCCAAUGGAUUUUCUCUCAACUAGGGACACGCCACAUGUGGCUGGCCUGGAGCUGGGUAAUUGAGCAGUUUACUUGUUUUGGCAAGACCAUUUGGGACACUUAGGUCGAACAAUGAUGCUACAACACAUCUCCUUACCCGAAGUAAGGAUCUUGUGCCUACAAGCACACUUUGCCAAGCUUGCUCAUUAGGGUAAUUGAUUUUCUAUAUCAUCCCUCGCAAAGAUACGAAAUCACCCUUUUUCACAGUGGAUUCAAGGGAAUAUAUGUGGACAAAUCCAACCAAAAUGCAAACCAUAUAAAUACUUUUGGUUGAUGAAUCGACAAACUGGUCACAUCUUUGU